AUUGAACGCUGGCGGCAUGCCUUACACAUGCAAGUCGAACGGCAGCACGGGUGCUUGCACCUGGUGGCGAGUGGCGAACGGGUGAGUAAUACAUCGGAACGUACCUUAUCGUGGGGGAUAACGCAGCGAAAGCUGUGCUAAUACCGCAUACGCCCUGAGGGGGAAAGCGGGGGAUCGAAAGACCUCGCGCGAUUAGAGCGGCCGAUGCCUGAUUAGCUUGUUGGUGGGGUAAAAGCCCACCAAGGCGACGAUCAGUAGCUGGUCUGAGAGGACGAUCGGCCAAACUGGGACUGAGACACGGCCCAGACUCCUACGGGAGGCAGCAGUGGGGAAUUUUGGACAAUGGGGGCAACCCUGAUCCAGCAAUGCCGCGUGAGUGAAGAAGGCCUUCGGGUUGUAAAGCUCUUUUGUCAGGGAAGAAACACCGGCUCUAACACAGUCCGGGAAUGACGGUACCUGAAGAAUAAGCACCGGCUAACUACGUGCCAGCCGCCGCCGUAA
rnacentral:rRNA from 1 species